rnacentral:rRNA from 2 species
AAUACAUGCAAGUCGAACGAGUUCUGAUUAUUGAAAGGUGCUUGCAUCUUGAUUUAAUUUUGAACGAGUGGCGGACGGGUGAGUAACACGUGGGUAACCUGCCCUUAAGUGGGGGAUAACAUUUGGAAACAGAUGCUAAUACCGCAUAAAUCCAAGAACCGCAUGGUUCUUGGCUGAAAGAUGGCGUAAGCUAUCGCUUUUGGAUGGACCCGCGGCGUAUUAGCUAGUUGGUGAGGUAACGGCUCACCAAGGCAAUGAUACGUAGCCGAACUGAGAGGUUGAUCGGCCACAUUGGGACUGAGACACGGCCCAAACUCCUACGGGAGGCAGCAGUAGGGAAUCUUCCACAAUGGACGCAAGUCUGAUGGAGCAACGCCGCGUGAGUGAAGAAGGCUUUCGGGUCGUAAAACUCUGUUGUUGGAGAAGAAUGGUCGGCAGAGUAACUGUUGUCGGCGUGACGGUAUCCAACCAGAAAGCCACGGCUAACUACGUGCCAGCAGCCGCGGUAAUACGUAGGUGGCAAGCGUUAUCCGGAUUUAUUGGGCGUAAAGCGAGCGCAGGCGGUUUUUUAAGUCUGAUGUGAAAGCCCUCGGCUUAACCGAGGAAGUGCAUCGGAAACUGGGAAACUUGAGUGCAGAAGAGGACAGUGGAACUCCAUGUGUAGCGGUGAAAUGCGUAGAUAUAUGGAAGAACACCAGUGGCGAAGGCGGCUGUCUGGUCUGUAACUGACGCUGAGGCUCGAAAGCAUGGGUAGCGAACAGGAUUAGAUACCCUGGUAGUCCAUGCCGUAAACGAUGAAUGCUAGGUGUUGGAGGGUUUCCGCCCUUCAGUGCCGCAGCUAACGCAUUAAGCAUUCCGCCUGGGGAGUACGACCGCAAGGUUGAAACUCAAAGGAAUUGACGGGGGCCCGCACAAGCGGUGGAGCAUGUGGUUUAAUUCGAAGCAACGCGAAGAACCUUACCAGGUCUUGACAUCUUUUGAUCACCUGAGAGAUCAGGUUUCCCCUUCGGGGGCAAAAUGACAGGUGGUGCAUGGUUGUCGUCAGCUCGUGUCGUGAGAUGUUGGGUUAAGUCCCGCAACGAGCGCAACCCUUAUGACUAGUUGCCAGCAUUUAGUUGGGCACUCUAGUAAGACUGCCGGUGACAAACCGGAGGAAGGUGGGGAUGACGUCAAAUCAUCAUGCCCCUUAUGACCUGGGCUACACACGUGCUACAAUGGAUGGUACAACGAGUUGCGAGACCGCGAGGUCAAGCUAAUCUCUUAAAGCCAUUCUCAGUUCGGACUGUAGGCUGCAACUCGCCUACACGAAGUCGGAAUCGCUAGUAAUCGCGGAUCAGCACGCCGCGGUGAAUACGUUCCCGGGCCUUGUACACACCGCCCGUCACACCAUGAGAGUUUGUAACACCCGAAGCCGGUGGCGUAACCCUUUUAGGGAGCGAGCCGUCUAAGG